rnacentral:tRNA from 1 species
UGAUCGAAAUGAUCCAGAGGCAUCCCUGAUAAGGAUGAGGCCGGAGGUUCAAGUCCUCC